CCUACGUGAGGCAGCAGUGGGGAAUAUUGGGCAAUGGGCGCAAGCCUGACCCAGCAACGCCGCGUGAAGGAAGAAGGCUUUCGGGGUGUAAACUUCUUUUGUCAGGGACGAAGCAAGUGACGGUACCUGACGAAUAAGCCACGGCUAACUACGUGCCAGCAGCCGCGGUAAUACGUAGGUGGCGAGCGUUAUUCGGAUUUAGUGGGUGUAAAGGGAGAGUAGGCGGGAAUGCAAGUCAGAUGUGAAAACUAUGGGCUCAACCCAUAGCUUGCAUUUGAAACUGGAUUUCUUGAGUACUGGAGAGGCAGUCGGAAUUCGGGGUGUAGCGGUGAAAUGCGUAGAUAUACGGAGGAACACCAGUGGCGAAGGCAGAUUGCUGGACAGUAACUGACGCUGAGGCGCGAAAGCGUGGGGAGCAAACAGGAUUAGAUACCCCAGUAGUC
rnacentral:rRNA from 1 species